GAUGAACGCUGGCGGCGUGCCUAAUACAUGCAAGUCGAGCGAACAGACGAGGAGCUUGCUCCUUCGACGUUAGCGGCGGACGGGUGAGUAACACGUAGGUAACCUACCUAUAAGACUGGGAUAACUUCAGGAAACCGGAGCUAAUACCGGAUAAUAUUUCGAACCGCAUGGUUCGAUAGUGAAAGAUGGCUUUGCUAUCACUUAUAGAUGGACCUGCGCCGUAUUAGCUAGUCGGUAAGGUAACGGCUUACCAAGGCAACGAUACGUAGCCGACCUGAGAGGGUGAUCGGCCACACUGGAACUGAGACACGGUCCAGACUCCUACGGGAGGCAGCAGUAGGGAAUCUUCCGCAAUGGGCGAAAGCCUGACGGAGCAACGCCGCGUGAGUGAUGAAGGUCUUCGGAUCGUAAAACUCUGUUAUUAGGGAAGAACAAACGUGUAAGUAACUGUGCACGUCUUGACGGUACCUAAUCAGAAAGCCACGGCUAACUACGUG
rnacentral:rRNA from 1 species